rnacentral:rRNA from 1 species
GGGGGGGGGGGGGGGGGGGGGUGGGGGGGGGGGGGCGGGCGAGCGGACGAGGAGCGGGCUCCUCUGACGGUCGCGGCGGACGGGUGAGUAACACGUGGGUAACCUAACUAUAAGACUGGGAUAACUUCGGGAAACCGGAGCUACGACCGGGUAAUAUAUUUAACCGCAUGGUUCAAUAGUGAAAGACGGUUUUGCUGUCACUUAUAGAUGGAUCCGCUCCGCAUUAGCUAGUUGGUAAGGUAAUGGCUUACCAAGGCAACGAUGCGUAGCCGACCUGAGAGGGUGAUCGGCCAAACUGGAACUGAGACACGGUCCAGACUCCUACGGGAGGCAGCAGUAGGGAAUCUUCCGCAAUGGGCGAAAGCCUGACGGAGCAACGCCGCGUGAGUGAUGAAGGUCUUCGGAUCGUAAAACUCUGUUAUUAGGGAAGAACAAAUGUGUAAGUAACUAUGCACGUCUUGACGGUACCUAAUCAGAAAGCCACGGCUAACUACGUG